UGGAGAGUUUGAUCCUGGCUCAGGACGAACGCUGGCGGCGUGCCUAAUACAUGCAAGUCGAGCGGGGUUAMUUAGAAGCUUGCUUCUAAKURACCUAGCGGCGGACGGGUGAGUAACACGUAGGCAACCUGCCCACAAGACAGGGAUAACUACCGGAAACGGUAGCUAAUACCCGAUACAUCCUUUUCCUGCAUGGGAGAAGGAGGAAAGGCGGAGCAAUCUGUCACUUGUGGAUGGGCCUGCGGCGCAUUAGCUAGUUGGUGGGGUAAUGGCCUACCAAGGCGACGAUGCGUAGCCGACCUGAGAGGGUGAUCGGCCACACUGGGACUGAGACACGGCCCAGACUCCUACGGGAGGCAGCAGUAGGGAAUCUUCCGCAAUGGGCGAAAGCCUGACGGAGCAACGCCGCGUGAGUGAUGAAGGUUUUCGGAUCGUAAAGCUCUGUUGCCAGGGAAGAACGUCUURUAGAGUAACUGCUAYAAGAGUGACGGUACCUGAGAAGAAAGCCCCGGCUAACUACGUGCCAGCAGCCGCGGUAAU
rnacentral:rRNA from 1 species